rnacentral:rRNA from 1 species
UACAGAGGUCUCAAGCGUUGUUCGGAUUCAUUGGGCGUAAAGGGUGCGUAGGCGGCGUGGUAAGUCGGGUGUGAAAUCUUGGAGCUUAACUCCGAAACUGCAUUCGAUACUGCCGUGCUUGAGGACUGGAGAGGAGACUGGAAUUUACGGUGUAGCGGUGAAAUGCGCAGAUAUCAGGAGGAACACCGGUGGCGAAGGCGGGUCUCUGGGCCGAAAUUGACGCUGAGGAGCGAAAGCGUGGGGAGCAAACAGG